AUAAGAGUACACGGUGGAUGCCUUGGCCUAGGACGGCUAUGAAGGACGCGACUAACCUGCGAAAAGCUUCGGGGAGGCGGUUUGUAGCCUUUGAUCCGGAGAUAUCCGAAUGGGGAAACCCUCCAGCAUUGAGCUGGAAUCCGCGAGGUAACGCUCGCGCGAAGCGAACCCCGGGAAGUGAAACAUCUCAGUACCGGGAGGAAAAGAGAACAAUAUGAGUUGCGUUCCGUUCGCGUGUAUGUUCGUGCGAAUGGAACGCGACUCGCGUGAUACCCCGAGUAGCGGCGAGCGAAAAGGGAAGAGCCCAAACCUCUGUCUUCGGAUGGGGGGGUUGUAAGAUGCGAGCGUCGUACUUGUACGAGAAGAGUUACAAAAUGUCUUUAUAGCGGAAGCCGCUGGGAAGCGGCGCCCGAGAGGGUAAUGGCCCCGUACGCGAAAUAAAGACGACUCUUGUUCGCAUUCUUGAGUAGCUCGGGACACGAAUAGCCCGAGUGAAUCUGCCGGAACUAACCGGCAAGGCUAAAUACGUCCUAUGACCGAUAGUGAACUAGUACCGUGAGGGAAAGGUGAAAAGAACC
rnacentral:rRNA from 1 species